rnacentral:rRNA from 1 species
UACGUAGGGGGCGAGCGUUGUCCGGAUUUAUUGGGCGUAAAGAGCUCGUAGGCGGCUUGGCAAGUCGGGUGUGAAACCUCCAGCUCAACCUGGAGACGCCACUCGAUACUGCCAUGGCUAGAGUCCGGUAGGGGACCACGGAAUUCCUGGUGUAGCGGUGAAAUGCGCAGAUAUCAGGAGGAACACCGGUGGCGAAGGCGGUGGUCUGGGCCGGCACUGACGCUGAGGAGCGAAAGCGUGGGUAGCAAACAGG